UGGCCGCCGCUUCCCCCACAAAAUUCCGUCACUCAGGAGCUGCGUUGCGGUGGAGAACCUGGGUCCCGUCCGGGCCCAAGGGAGGAGGGUCAGCACGGCCGCUCCCACAGACCAGUCCAGGCGCCUCUUCCCUCCUCCUGCUUUCCGCAGCGGUCUCGGCGGCGGCGGGCGGCUGGAGCGGGAGCCGGGGGCGGCGAGGGGCGGAGCCGGGGCGGAGCCACGGCGCUAGCUGCCCGGGCGGCGGCAGGUGUGGAUGGGGCGAAGGUGCGGGAACGUCCACUCCCGCGCGCCUCUUUUGGGGGCCAGGGCUCGGGGACUGGAGCGGCCUUCCAGGAGGAGCUUCGUGAGCAACUGCGACCUGCGCAUAACUUGGAGCGCAGCCAGGGACGCGCAGGUUCCACGUCCGGCGCCUGGGGAGAAAAGACGCGCGUCCCCGGCCGCGGCGCCGGAGCCGGCUGGGGACCGCCUGGUCCCGGGCCAGACCUGGGAGGCGGUGUUCCGAGAGCCGCCUGGUCUGGGGUGCGGGGAGCGGGAAGCGGCCCUGCGUGUGCGCUUGGGCGAGGCCGGGCGGCGCUUCUGCCCUCCUACUCGGACCCUCAGGUAGAAAUGGAUUCCCAGAAAUACCUCCUCAAGGCCAGUGUAGAGCCCUCAAUCACUCGCACCCCCAGCUUCUCCCUCUUCCAUCUCCUGCACCAAGCAGGUCUCCAGGUGUUCCAGCUGCUGAUGAAGUGCAGUGUGGAGUUGGUCCAGGAAGGUCAUGUUCCAUGCAGCAGAGGAGCACUCCGUGUAAGAAGCUGAAGACCUGCUGCAGCACAUCAUAGAGGAAAGACAUAGCCUGGGCCUUCUGCAACUGGCUGACUUCCACCAUCUCCUGGGGGAAUCUGAAGUCACUUCUGUCCUUCAGACACAAGAAAGGAGAAAUUCUCCUCAUUCAGCCCAGAAGCAUCAAGGUGUUUCUGCCUAGCAGACCACGGUUCUGAGGCAGAUUACAACCUAGAGAUCCAAAAGAGCCAUAGCCGCACACCUCUAGGGCCACCAGUAGAGGAAAGAGGAGGGCCAUUGGGAAAUCAGGAUGCUUUUGGCCUGGCUGAACUGAGAUCUGGAUGAACCUUGGAUCCUAGGUUCCAUGAAGACAUUCUAUCUAUGCAUGGCUUUAAUGGAGCACAAAUGGUUUUCAUUUUUCUGAGCAUUUCUCUAAAUUUUUAAUUCCACUUAUUGUUUUCAUUUACAUGUCUUCUGUAUCAGCAUCCACAACCUUUUGGCCACCAGUUUGGUGGAAGACAAUUUUUCCACGAAAAACGGGGUUGGGGAGAGAACAUUUUUAGAGGCAUUAGAUUCUCAUUAGGAGACCACAACCUAGAUCCCUCGCAUCUGCACUUCACAAUAGGGUUCCCACUCUUUUGAGAAUCUAAUGCCACUGCUGAUCUUACAGGAGGUGGAGCUCAGGCGUUAAUGCUUGUUGGUUGGCCUGCUUGCUUCCUGCUGUGCAGCACUGUUCCUACCAGGCCAGGACCAGUACUCCAGUCCAUGGAUGGGGGUUGAAAACCUUGUUCUAUAUGACCUAAAAGGAGGUCAUCACUCUACACUCUUGAUUUUUGCAAUACAUGUUCAAUAUUCCCAGUAAACUUAAGAUAUUAUCAAUCCAAAUGGAUAUUGAUCGAUCAAAUGAGAAACAUCUUUGUGUUAAUGUUAGAAGUAUAUACUUUUAGCCCCGAUCCUAGCCUCCAAUUUUACCCUCCAUUUUGCAUAGGAAAUCAGGAUCCCUGGGCCCUAUGGGUUUCUGUAUUCAGUUAGGGAAUUACCUAUCUCUGGAAAUUAAACGCUUUAAGACUAUCUUUGUUUGAUAUUUGAUUCACAGCAGAUGUUGACAGUUAUUAGUGAAAGAACUUCGCCGGUGCUUCCCUUCUUCUAGAAUAUAUUCAUUCAGGUUCAUGUGGUUGUGCUUCCCUGGGGGCUCAAGCUUAGAUCAAUGAACAUUGCCUUUUUUGCAUUAUUUUCUUAUUGGAGAAACGUAGCACUCCUCACACUGUGCUAAUACCCCUAGAAGGAAUUCUGUUUUUUUUUUAAGGUGCAUAUGGGUGUGGAAAUUUUAAUCUUAAAAUAAUGUUAUUUCCUCAGCAGUGAGGACUCACAAGGUAUUUAUCACAUCAAGUCAUUCCCUAAGUGCAGGCUCACCACAUCCUGAUGACUUUAGAACUCCUUUCCCAACGAGGUUCUUGCUUCUUUGUUGCCAAAACAAUAAAUCCUUUGUGACCUUUGUCCUCGCUCCUAGAAUAUUUGGGUGAAGGAAUAUUUGCUCUCAAUGGUGACCUCCUCUUCUUCUGACCCAUGCCCUAGGUAUCAAAACUCUCAACAGCCCUAGAACGCUGAUAGCAAAGGUUUGUUUUGUCCAAGUAGGUAAAAGGAAUUAUCCAAUUGUAAUCAUUUUAUCUUCAGUAGUUCAAUAAUUUUACUUCGCCAAGUACAGCUUUUAUUCUUCACCUCUGGCUAUCUUUAAUUCUUUUAAACUAUUGAACGGUUUUUAUGCUUGAAACUUCUGAGCUAUGCACAGGAGACUCAAAGACGCUGCUGCCUCUCUUUAGAGGCUCAUAUUACAGAAACUGGUGACCCUGAGUUGUUCACCAGUUCAGUGUGAUCUGUUGACGUUCCUUACCUCUCUGUCUACAUGAAACUUUGACGGUGCAGGGCAGUGAGCCCCAUGCUAUCAUGUUAAAUAGUCAUAGUCAUCUUUCCUUUACUGAUUUAUGAUUCUUCAUUUUAAAUUUAAAGGUCAACAACAAGUGAAUUUUUAGAACUCCUUUUUGACGUAGUGGUUUACUGGGCAAAGUUUGCCUUGCUGCUACCACAUUACAUUCUAAUUCAUGAUGAAGUAACACAAACAAAGGGAAGUAAAAGAAAGGCAAAAGAGCUCCACUGGUUUUCUCUAUAAUUUCCAAAAUUUGUGUUUUUCUUGUUUCUCAUUUCAACUUUUGUAGAAAGUACUACUUGACAAUUGUUUGUAGGCAGAAAGAAAACACAAGCAAUUCUGAUUGUCAUGAAAGUGAAAUAAGGGAAGUGACUUUCCCCUUACUAACUGCAAAGUGUAGGUUAGCAAAAUUCAAUGCAGCAAAAAUUGGGGACUAGAGAGUUUUCAAAGAUCAGCUACUUGACUUUCUUUCACUUAAUCCACAUGUGAUCAGCUCUGGAGAGAAGGAAGAAGUCACACCAACCAACUCCCAAAAGAUUGACAACCAGGCUGCAGUUGCUAGAACACCAACAAAUCUCUCUGGCAGGUUAUUAGACAUUAAGCUUGUCUGAAGACUCUACCUAGUUAAUAAAUCCACCCAGGCAAUGAUAAGAUAGUCUUGAGAAACCUGGAACUAAUAGAAAGAGAAUCAGA
rnacentral:lncRNA from 1 species